GGGCGAUUAGCUCAGUUGGCUAGAGCGCUUCGUUUACACCGAAGAAGUCACAGGUUCGAGUCCUGUAUCGCCCA
rnacentral:tRNA from 2 species